rnacentral:rRNA from 1 species
AAAUGAAUAAGAGGUCCUGCCUGCCCUGUGACCAUGAGUUCAACGGCCGCGGUAUUAUGACCGUGCGAAGGUAGCGUAAUCACCUGUCCCCUAAAUAGAGACCUGUAUGAAUGGCAAGACGAGAGCUUAACUGUCUCCUUUUUCAAGUCAAUGAAAUUGAUCCUCCCGUGCAGAAGCGGGAAUAUGACCAUAAGACGAGAAGACCCUGUGGAGCUUUAGACACUAAGACAGAUCAUGUUAAAACUUCCUAAUAAAGAACCAAAACUUAAUGAACCCUGUCCCGUAUGUCUUCGGUUGGGGCGACCGCGGAGAAACAAAAAACCCCCGCGUGGACUGGGAGCACAAUUCUACUCCUACAAACAAGAGCUUCCGCUCUAACAAACAGAAUUUCUGACCAAAAUGAUCCGGCAACGCCGAUCAACGAACCAAGUUACCCUAGGGAUAACAGCGCAAUCCCCUUUUAGAGCCCGUAUCGACAAGGGGGUUUACGACCUCGAUGUUGGAUCAGGACAUCCUAAUGGUGCAGCCGCUGUUAAGGGUUCGUUUGUUCAACGAUUAAAGUCCU